GACAGAGGGUGCAAACGUUGUUCGGAUUUACUGGGCGUAAAGCGCGUGUAGGCGGCUUUGCAAGUCGGAUGUGAAAUCCCACGGCUCAACCGUGGAAGUGCAUCCGAAACUGCAUCGCUGGAGCCUCGGAGAGGAAGGUGGAAUGCUUGGUGUAGAGGUGAAAUUCGUAGAUAUCAAGCAGAACACCUGCGGCGAAGGCGGCCCUCUGGACGAUGACUGACGCUGAGACGCGAAAGCGUGGGGAGCAAACAGG
rnacentral:rRNA from 1 species